GCAAGUCGAGCGAGCUUGCCUAGAUGAAUUUGGUGCUUGCACCAGAUGAAACUAGAUACAAGCGAGCGGCGGACGGGUGAGUAACACGUGGGUAACCUGCCCAAGAGACUGGGAUAACACCUGGAAACAGAUGCUAAUACCGGAUAACAACACUAGACGCAUGUCUAGAGUUUAAAAGAUGGUUCUGCUAUCACUCUUGGAUGGACCUGCGGUGCAUUAGCUAGUUGGUAAGGUAACGGCUUACCAAGGCAAUGAUGCAUAGCCGAGUUGAGAGACUGAUCGGCCACAUUGGGACUGAGACACGGCCCAAACUCCUACGGGAGGCAGCAGUAGGGAAUCUUCCACAAUGGACGCAAGUCUGAUGGAGCAACGCCGCGUGAGUGAAGAAGGGUUUCGGCUCGUAAAGCUCUGUUGGUAGUGAAGAAAGAUAGAGGUAGUAACUGGCCUUUAUUUGACGGUAAUUACUUAGAAAGUCACGGCUAACUACGUGCCAGCAGCCGCGGUAAUACGUAGGUGGCAAGCGUUGUCCGGAUUUAUUGGGCGUAAAGCGAGUGCAGGCGGUUCAAUAAGUCUGAUGUGAAAGCCUUCGGCUCAACCGGAGAAUUGCAUCAGAAACUGUUGAACUUGAGUGCAGAAGAGGAGAGUGGAACUCCAUGUGUAGCGGUGGCAUGCGUAGAUAUAUGGAAGACACCAGUGGCGAAG
rnacentral:rRNA from 1 species